GAUGAACGCUGGCGGCGUGCCUAAUACAUGCAAGUCGAGCUAACGGACGAGAAGCUUGCUUCUCUGAUGUUAGCGGCGGACGGGUGAGUAACACGUGGAUAACCUACCUAUAAGACUGGGAUAACUUCGGGAAACCGGAGCUAAUACCGGAUAAUAUUUUGAACCGCAUGGUUCAAAAGUGAAAGACGGUCUUGCUGUCACUUAUAGAUGGAUCCGCGCUGCAUUAGCUAGUUGGUAAGGUAACGGCUUACCAAGGCAACGAUGCAUAGCCGACCUGAGAGGGUGAUCGGCCACACUGGAACUGAGACACGGUCCAGACUCCUACGGGAGGCAGCAGUAGGGAAUCUUCCGCAAUGGGCGAAAGCCUGACGGAGCAACGCCGCGUGAGUGAUGAAGGUCUUCGGAUCGUAAAACUCUGUUAUUAGGGAAGAACAUAUGUGUAAGUAACUGUGCACAUCUUGACGGUACCUAAUCAGAAAGCCACGGCUAACUACGUGCCAGCAGCCGCGGUAAUACGUAGGUGGCAAGCGUUAUCCGGAAUUAUUGGGCGUAAAGCGCGCGUAGGCGGUUUUUUAAGUCUGAUGUGAAAGCCCACGGCUCAACCGUGGAGGGUCAUUGGAAACUGGAAAACUUGAGUGCAGAAGAGGAAAGUGGAAUUCCAUGUGUAGCGGUGAAAUGCGCAGAGAUAUGGAGGAACACCAGUGGCGAAGGCGACUUUCUGGUCUGUAACUGACGCUGAUGUGCGAAAGCGUGGGGAUCAAACAGGAUUAGAUACCCUGGUAGUCCACGCCGUAAACGAUGAGUGCUAAGUGUUAGGGGGUUUCCGCCCCUUAGUGCUGCAGCUAACGCAUUAAGCACUCCGCCUGGGGAGUACGACCGCAAGGUUGAAACUCAAAGGAAUUGACGGGGACCCGCACAAGCGGUGGAGCAUGUGGUUUAAUUCGAAGCAACGCGAAGAACCUUACCAAAUCUUGACAUCCUUUGACAACUCUAGAGAUAGAGCCUUCCCCUUCGGGGGACAAAGUGACAGGUGGUGCAUGGUUGUCGUCAGCUCGUGUCGUGAGAUGUUGGGUUAAGUCCCGCAACGAGCGCAACCCUUAAGCUUAGUUGCCAUCAUUAAGUUGGGCACUCUAAGUUGACUGCCGGUGACAAACCGGAGGAAGGUGGGGAUGACGUCAAAUCAUCAUGCCCCUUAUGAUUUGGGCUACACACGUGCUACAAUGGACAAUACAAAGGGCAGCGAAACCGCGAGGUCAAGCAAAUCCCAUAAAGUUGUUCUCAGUUCGGAUUGUAGUCUGCAACUCGACUACAUGAAGCUGGAAUCGCUAGUAAUCGUAGAUCAGCAUGCUACGGUGAAUACGUUCCCGGGUCU
rnacentral:rRNA from 1 species